rnacentral:rRNA from 1 species
CCUACGGGUGGCUGCAGUGGGGAAUAUUGGACAAUGGGCGAAAGCCUGAUCCAGCCAUGCCGCGUGUGUGAAGAAGGCCUUCGGGUUGUAAAGCACUUUCAGUGGGGAAGAAAGCCUUGGGGCUAAUACCCUCGAGGAAGGACAUCACCCACAGAAGAAGCACCGGCUAAAUCCGUGCCAGCAGCCGCGGUAAUACGGAGGGUGCGAGCGUUAAUCGGAAUUACUGGGCGUAAAGCGCGCGUAGGCGGUCUGAUAAGCCGGUUGUGAGAGCCCCGGGCUCAACCUGGGAACGGCAUCCGGAACUGUCAGGCUAGAGUGCAGGAGAGGAAGGUAGAAUUCCCGGUGUAGCGGUGAAAUGCGUAGAGAUCGGGAGGAAUACCAGUGGCGAAGGCGGCCUUCUGGACUGACACUGACGCUGAGGUGCGAAAGCGUGGGUAGCAAACAGGAUUAGAUACCCCAGUAGUC